AGGAACUUCCAAAUUUUGUCAACAUUUAAUUACGGGAAAAAUAUGAAAAAAAUAAUAAGUUCAGCAUUAUCCUAGAGUUCCUAGACACGAUUGAUAUCCCAGCACCCAAAGGAAAAUAUUGUUAACAGGAAAGUGCCAACGGGACCCGAAGUGGCGAGUCAGGAAAAGAAACACACUAGGCAAGCUUGGUGAUAUUUAAUUACGCCGCAUGUCGAAGAAAAAGGAAGAGAGAAAAUACUUUUCAAGGGUAAUAAAGAAGAUUCUUACAAUUUCUCUAUUGUGGUUCUAGAUGUUAAUAUAUAUUAGGUUUAAUAAUAAGAAGUCGAAUAUUGCAAGAAUAUAUAAGGCAAAGCAAUAUACUAUUAAUUUAAAUAUUGUUUUUUUUUUCUCUCCUGUAUUUUUACCUGAAAAGAAACAAAAAUAAAGUAGGUAGGUACCUAGAACUCCUAGAAGCCAUGAUUAGCUCCCCAAGGCCUACUUCAUACCUAAUGCUGACAACAACGUAUCAUAGCAUGAUCGUAUCAGGCCCUGUCAAACAUGAAGAGAAACAUCUAGAACACGGGUAUGAUCUAGAGGAGUUUCAAUAUGGUAGACCAUAUGAUAACCGUACCUAUACUACGCAGACUAUGACAUGAGCGUAACGACUCCUUCAAAAUAUUGUUGGUCGGCUCGGUCCAGUCACGUCACGGUAUGGUGUUGGCAGGGGAUGGAAUGGUUUAGUGGGUGAUGACUGAUAAUAUUUCAUACAAAGCAUGAUUUUGAGCCGGACAUGAUCCUGUUAUAGCCACGUAUUACAUCAUUCUGUUACAGUACGAUGCUGCGGGCACAGGCCACAUGUAGGUAUUUUUUGUUGAAGUCGAGGAAGGUUCCAAACGGUACCUAAAUAGUAAGAGAUUGUUGAAAUUAGACAUCUAACCGUGAUCCUAAAUAUUACUACUAAGACUAAGGCUUACUUAAUAAGUUGGAUAGUUUGUUUUGAACAUUUGUACCUACCCACCUCAUCGGCUUCGUAUAUGUACAAGCAAGCGGGCUCCGUUGUUAGGUUGAUGAAAGUUUUGUAUAAGGAAGUCUUAGGAUUACUUUUAUAAACUUACGAACAUGAAUUGAAAUUAUAUGUAGCUAUUUACUUA